rnacentral:rRNA from 1 species
GACUCGUCACACUAUCAUUAACUGAAUCCAUAGGUUAAUGAGGCGAACCGGGGGAACUGAAACAUCUAAGUACCCCGAGGAAAAGAAAUCAACCGAGAUUCCCCCAGUAGCGGCGAGCGAACGGGGAGGAGCCCAGAGCCUGAAUCAGCAUGUGUGUUAGUGGAAGCGUCUGGAAAGGCGCGCGAUACAGGGUGACAGCCCCGUACACAAAAGCGCAUGUGCUGUGAGCUCGAUGAGUAGGGCGGGACACGUGGUAUCCUGUCUGAAUAUGGGGGGACCAUCCUCCAAGGCUAAAUACUCCUGACUGACCGAUAGUGAACCAGUACCGUGAGGGAAAGGCGAAAAGAACCCCGGCGAGGGGAGUGAAAAAGAACCUGAAACCGUGUACGUACAAGCAGUGGGAGCACAGGUUUACCUGUGUGACUGCGUACCUUUUGUAUAAUGGGUCAGCGACUUAUAUUCUGUAGCAAGGUUAACCGAAUAGGGGAGCCGGAGGGAAACCGAGUCUUAAUUGGGCGUUAAGUUGCAGGGUAUAGACCCGAAACCCGGUGAUCUAGCCAUGGGCAGGUUGAAGGUUGGGUAACACUAACUGGAGGACCGAACCGACUAAUGUUGAAAAAUUAGCGGAUGACCUGUGGCUGGGGGUGAAAGGCCAAUCAAACCGGGAGAUAGCUGGUUCUCCCCGAAAGCUAUUUAGGUAGCGCCUCGUGAAUUCAUCUCCGGGGGUAGAGCACUGUUUCGGCUAGGGGGCCAUCCCGGCUUACCAACCCGAUGCAAACUGCGAAUACCGGAGAAUGUUAUCACGGGAGACACACGGCGGGUGCUAACGUCCGUCGUGAAGAGGGAAACAACCCAGACCGCCAGCUAAGGUCCCAAAGUCAUGGUUAAGUGGGAAACGAUGUGGGAAGGCCCAGACAGCCAGGAUGUUGGCUUAGAAGCAGCCAUCAUUUAAAGAAAGCGUAAUAGCUCACUGGUCGAGUCGGCCUGCGCGGAAGAUGUAACGGGGCUAAACCAUGCACCGAAGCUGCGGCAGCGACGCUGAUGCGUUGUUGGGUAGGGGAGCGUUCUGUAAGCCUGCGAAGGUGGCCUGUGAGGGUUGCUGGAGGUAUCAGAAGUGCGAAUGCUGACAUAAGUAACGAUAAAGCGGGUGAAAAGCCCGCUCGCCGGAAGACCAAGGGUUCCUGUCCAACGUUAAUCGGGGCAGGGUGAGUCGACCCCUAAGGCGAGGCCGAAAGGCGUAGUCGAUGGGAAACGGGUUAAUAUUCCCGUACUUGGUGUUACUGCGAAGGGGGGACGGAGAAGGCUAUGUUGGCCGGGCGACGGUUGUCCCGGUUUAAGCGUGUAGGUGUGUGUUCCAGGUAAAUCCGGUUCACUUUAACACUGAGGCGUGAUGACGAGGCACUACGGUGCUGAAGCAACAAAUGCCCUGCUUCCAGGAAAAGCCUCUAAGCAUCAGGUAACAUCAAAUCGUACCCCAAACCGACACAGGUGGUCAGGUAGAGAAUACCAAGGCGCUUGAGAGAACUCGGGUGAAGGAACUAGGCAAAAUGGUGCCGUAACU